GAUGAACGCUGGCGGCGUGCCUAAUACAUGCAAGUCAAGCGAACAGAUGAGGAGCUUGCUCCUCUGACGUUAGCGGCGGACGGGUGAGUAACACGUGGAUAUCCUACCUAUAAGACUGGGAUAACUUCGGGAAACCGGAGCUAAUACCGGAUAAUAUAUUGAACCGCAUGGUUCAAUAGUGAAAGACGGUUUUGCUGUCACUUAUAGAUGGAUCCGCGCCGCAUUAGCUAGUUGGUAAGGUAACGGCUUACCAAGGCAACGAUGCGUAGCCGACCUGAGAGGGUGAUCGGCCACACUGGAACUGAGACACGGUCCAGACUCCUACGGGAGGCAGCAGUAGGGAAUCUUCCGCAAUGGGCGAAAGCUUGACGGAGCAACGCCGCGUGAGUGAUGAAGGUCUUCGGAUCGUAAAACUCUGUUAUUAGGGAAGAACAAAUGUGUAAGUAACUAUGCACGUCUUGACGGUACCUAAUCAGAAAGCCACGGCUAACUACGUG
rnacentral:rRNA from 1 species